rnacentral:rRNA from 1 species
GACGAACGCUGGCGGCGUGCUUAACACAUGCAAGUCGAACGGAAAGGCCCUGCUUUUGUGGGGUGCUCGAGUGGCGAACGGGUGAGUAACACGUGAGUAACCUGCCCUUGACUUUGGGAUAACUUCAGGAAACUGGGGCUAAUACCGGAUAGGAGCUCCUGCUGCAUGGUGGGGGUUGGAAAGUUUCGGCGGUUGGGGAUGGACUCGCGGCUUAUCAGCUUGUUGGUGGGGUAGUGGCUUACCAAGGCUUUGACGGGUAGCCGGCCUGAGAGGGUGACCGGCCAAAUUGGGAAUGAGAUACGGCCCAGACUCCUACGGGAGGCAGCAGUGGGGAAUAUUGCACAAUGGGCGGAAGCCUGAUGCAGCAACGCCGCGUGCGGGAUGACGGCCUUCGGGUUGUAAACCGCUUUCGCCUGUGACGAAGCGUGAGUGACGGUAAUGGGUAAAGAAGCACCGGCUAACAACGUG